rnacentral:sRNA from 1 species
UCCGCUUUACAGGACGCCGUACAUAUUGU